GCCCCCAUCGUCUAGUGGUUC
rnacentral:ncRNA from 2 species